AUUGAACGCUGGCGGCAUGCUUUACACAUGCAAGUCGAACGGUAACAGGCCGCAAGGUGCUGACGAGUGGCGAACGGGUGAGUAAUGCAUCGGAACGUGCCCAGUCGUGGGGGAUAACGCAGCGAAAGCUGCGCUAAUACCGCAUACGAUCUCUGGAUGAAAGCGGGGGACCGAAAGGCCUCGCGCGAUUGGAGCGGCCGAUGUCAGAUUAGGUAGUUGGUGGGGUAAAGGCCCACCAAGCCAACGAUCUGUAGCUGGUCUGAGAGGACGACCAGCCACACUGGGACGGAGACACGGCCCAGACUCCUACGGGAGGCAGCAGUGGGGAAUUUUGGACAAGGGGCGCAAGCCUGAUCCAGCAAUGCCGCGUGCAGGUAGAAGGCCUUCGGGUUGUAAACUGCUUUUGUACGGAACGAAACGGUCCGGGUUAAUACCCUGGGCUAAUGACGGUACCGUAAGAAUAAGCACCGGCUAACUACGUGCCAGCAGCCGCCGUAACAC
rnacentral:rRNA from 1 species